rnacentral:rRNA from 1 species
AUUGAACGCUGGCGGCAGGCCUAACACAUGCAAGUCGAGCGGAUGAAGGGAGCUUGCUCCUGGAUUCAGCGGCGGACGGGGGAGUAAUGCCUAGGAAUCUGCCUGGUAGUGGGGGAUAACGUCCGGAAACGGGCGCUAAUACCGCAUACGACCUGAGGGAGAAAGUGGGGGAUCUUCGGACCUCACGCUAUCAGAUGAGCCUAGGUCGGAUUAGCUAGUUGGUGGGGUAAAGGCCUACCAAGGCGACGAUCCGUAACUGGUCUGAGAGGAUGAUCAGUCACACUGGAGCUGAGACACGGUCCAGACUCCUACGGGAGGCAGCAGUGGGGAAUAUUGGACAAUGGGCGAAAGCCUGAUCCAGCCAUGCCGCGUGUGUGAAGAAGGUCUUCGGAUUGUAAAGCACUUUAAGUUGGGAGGAAGGGCAGUAAGUUAAUACCUUGCUGUUUUGACGUUACCAACAGAAUAAGCACCGGCUAACUUCGUG